AUAUUGCAUGAUAUUUUAUCAGGGAAAAAAAAUAAAACAGAUCCAAUUUCAUGAAAAUGCUGUUGCCAUAAUGCUCAGGAGAACAGGGGGAAGAGAGAGAUGCAAGUCUUCCUAAUGUCUACCUUAUAUGCAGAGCCUGAGAGGGAGCAACAGACGGUCACAUCAUCUACGCAACCCUCCCUGGCUGUCACCUUCACCUCUCUGAACACUGACUUGUUCAUGCUCCCCUUGUAUUCCUGGGCAUGCUGACGCUGUCCUGAUGCAGGGCACGGAUGAUGAUUGAUCCAGGCUAACUAUGGUUGUUCUGUUUCCUGUACUGGUGAUUCACCAAGGGAUGGACACAUUGUACAAUUCUGGUCAGUGCGUGAAGUCUGGAACUUCUGGAAAAGUGUUCCUUGACCUUAAGAAAAUGGAAAUAAGAAAAAUACCCAUUUUCCUAUCUGUGAAUGUCACUGUGUGAGGAUGUGAUACUGAUGGCAGUCAUCUUGUGACUUUAAAGACAAGUUUAUUGCAGGCCAGCUGACAUCACUGAGCUACCAAGUGAAGGUCCCUGGAAAUUACCCUGUGCCCAGACUUCCUAUUAGCAGAAUGCAUCCUAAGUGCUACAAACAUCAUCCCUAGAGGCAUCGAGAUUGUUUGGCUGGGUUGGGGAAGGAGUAACUCUGCAGACUCACAGAGAAGAUGUGGCUUGCUUAAAUUACAGAAGCCAGACUUGCUGACGGGACUGCUAUACGGUUUUUCGCUCUACCAAGCGGUCACAUGGGGUGGGGCUCGUUAAUUUCAAGACCAUCGGCAUUCACUUUCAUUGGAAGCAUUUUCAUUUAGUACGAUUUUGAGGUUAUUUUAAAUAAAAUAUUUAGCUUGCCUAACCAGGUAAUGGGAAAUCUUUAGCCAGAGGGUUAGAAACUAGAUUCAACCUUGUAAUUUAUCGCCUACAACUAUAAAUCAAGCCAAUGUCAGAAAGCUGAGAAAAACAAUAAACAAUGAGACAGCUGCCGCCUGGUCUGUCAACAAUAUAUGGCAAGGCGAGACGUGCCCAACAAUUACAACAAAGCCAUAAAUAUAUAUUCUAUAUUUAACUCCACAAGCUUAAAGUUGUUUGAUUUUCAUUAUUGAUGUUUGCACACCCUCAGGGUCUUAAAGGAUAAAUCCUUUAUCUUGUACUGUCAUGUUAUUAAGAAGAAGAGAAAGAGCUUUUUAAAAAAUUCCAUUUUGCAUAGCUUCUCAGACCCUUGCCCCACUGGCAUUUGCAUCCUGAGCGUAAGGGAGUUAAUGCAUGUGUAGGACUGAAGAAUCCCAGCACUAAGGUAUCCAGAAGAGACAGGACCGAGUUUAUGAGUACUAGGAAGGCUGCGUCUGGUGAGGGUGGGGGCAGGUAAGGGGAGUUGUUUAAAUCGUAAAGUUUCAGAGUCUUGUAACAGUGCUUUACAGAAAAAAUCUGUUAUAAAUAAGUCAUAAAGCCAUAACAUACUCUUUGUAAUGCCAGCUCCACGAUCUCUGCCAAGAAGACUUUUUUUUUGUGGGAGAGUCCUCUCUUCCCUUUAGCAGCCUGCAUACUACCUAAGAAGCUAAUUCUUAUUGAUAGAUCAUCAUUAUUACAGGAUGCUGGAAGUGAUUCCCAUUCACUGCCUGCAAGUAACCCUUAAUUCCGACAGAAGACGUAAAGCCAAACCAAAAUGUCCUCUGUGUUUGGAAAAGCUGCUGUGCUUGGAUCAUGGCAGCCCCCUUUGUGGCAAAGACCAUCGCUGCAGAAUCACUUGACCCCAAGGUCUAACUCCUCCAGGAGAAUCUUUGACGAAAUAUACUGACAGCCACGUUACCACUGUUCCCAUCGUCCACGGUAAUUCUGCCAAAUUGGCAGUCAAAGCCACGCAAGGCUAAUCUUGUGCUGGGGAGAUUGUCUUCCCUCAAGUCCUAAUAGUAAGUACUUGGAUUUUCACAGCUCUCUCUGAAAUGCAAGGUCUUCUGGAAGCUUCUCUAAGAAACCCUCAUGGGCUGGACACAGUGGCUCCCGCCUCCCUCUGAGCCACCUCACUCAUUUGUGGCCCAGAUCUGCCAGCAAAGGGUUUUCUCUUGUCUUAGUCACCUUUGUUCUAUUAGUGUGUUCUCAGAUGACUUUCAAUGAAGGAUAUUUGUCCAGUAGCCUGCAGGAUUAUUUCCACAUUAUUUAAGAGCCCUCUCGAAGAAGUCAGAUGGGAAUGAAAAUGAAACUUGGGGGUCAGGGGUCCGUUGUGGGCAUGCCUUUAGAAAGUCCCAUCUUGUCUCACAGGCAAGAGAUUUUUUCCUCCUACUUUCAGUGUGUGCUGACAGUGUCUGGGGAGACAUGUUCUCAUGUGAUCACUUACAAGAUCUCAUUUCGUGUUAGUGAAAUUUACACGCAUGACUAGUAAUUAAGUCUCACUAAAUCAGGAUUUCUCGUUUUCAUUUAAAUAUGAGCUUUAAUUACAUAAAAACAAUUGCCAUAAAACGAUUGCAUGCAUUUAUUUGAGCUUUGAGUGCCCUCUACUGGAACAAGAAAAAAGUAAAAAAUCAAUAGCACGGAGGGCUUGUGCGGUUCGGUCUUAACUACUAAGAUGUCCUCGUUAGUGUCAGGAAAAGAAGAAUAAUUGUAAGCACUCAACAUCUAUCAUUCACAAUUAGCUGACAGUGCUCCAAACUUUUUCUAAAACUUACCCAUUAAAUGGAGCUAACAGUGCAUAUCUUCCAGAUUUUACGUUUACAGAAAAAUCCUGAAAGAUACCAACGUGAAGCCUCUUCCUAGCUGGUUGGCCAGCUCUUAUUUCCAGAUACUGCAUGUCUCCCUGCUACUGGUGUUCCGUUUAUAGCCAUGGCCUCUGAGACCAGUUGGCCCCCCGACCAAUUUCCUUCUUUAAACCUGUUCCUUCCAAAACCGUGCGUGAUGUGAACUUUGCUCUUCUCUGCCUUCACCCCUUGGGCUCUGCUGCCCCUCUGACCUCCUGCCUUCCCCCCAACGCCCCGCCGCGUGAACUUCCCAGCUCCCUCUUUCCACCACCACUCCGCCCUCACACCCACCCUCCUCCCUGUCAGCAGGACUGCACCUGAACUCACUUCCUUGUCUCCAUUUAACCAGUCUCUCCACCCUCCUUCUUCCAAUUCAUUUCCUAACUUGUCUGGACCUCAUGGCUUAUUAUUUCAACCACACUGUCAUCGACACACUCAUUUCCACCAACCCUUUGAUCGUCUGCUGCAUAAGCCUUGAAGUAGUCUAUUCUAUAACAGCCUAAUGAUUCAUUCUAACCGACUAAUUUCUAACUUGCGAAGCACUGCUGAAGAAUAUCACACUGCUUUGCUCAUUGGCUGAUGAUACGUCCUUUUGGCCAGUCUCAGGUAGGACCUUGGAAAGGCUCAAUUCUGUUUUUCUUUUUUUAAAGUUUAUUUAUUUAUCUUUGAGAGAGAGAGAGAGAGAGAGAGAGUGCACAAUUAGGGGAG